GGCCUGGCAUAUGGGGACAGAAAGGAGCCCAUGGGAAUCAACCUCCCGCUGCGGGGUUCCCCCCUCCCCUCUGCCAUAUUGUCUUGUCCCUAGAACGAGGUGGUUCCUGGGCCUGGCUACUGUUAUGUCAGGAAGAGAAAAGGGGGUUGCUUGUGUGAGGACUGUGCACCCCGGGGUCAGCAGGGAUCAGGGUCGCGGGUGCCUUUUCGAGAGUCCAGGACCAUACCCUCCAGGUGUUUCCACCACCGCACGGGCUAGGAGCCGUUAGCCGAGUAUUGGAGGGGAAGGCGGAACUAUCGCCCCCUGGUGGGCGUGUUUAGAACUGCUCGUGCUUGUACCGCUCUACGUGGGCUCAACGGUAGCUAAACUUAAGGCAGAAUAGGAGGGAAUAAAUCACAAGUUUUGAGUGCA